AAAACUUUCAACAACGGAUCUCUUGGUUCUGGCAUCGAUGAAGAACGCAGCGAAAUGCGAUAAGUAAUGUGAAUUGCAGAAUUCAGUGAAUCAUCGAAUCUUUGAACGCACAUUGCGCCCCUCGGUAUUCCGGGGGGC
rnacentral:rRNA from 1 species